UACAGAGGUGGCAAGCGUUGUUCGGAUUUAUUGGGCCUAAAGCAUCCGUAGCCGGUUCUACAAGUCUUCCGUUAAAUCCACCUGCUUAACAGAUGGGCUGCGGAAGAUACUAUAGAGCUAGGAGGCGGGAGAGGCAAGCGGUACUCGAUGGGUAGGGGUAAAAUCCGUUGAUCCAUUGAAGACCACCAGUGGCGAAGGCGGCUUGCCAGAACGCGCUCGACGGUGAGGGAUGAAAGCUGGGGGAGCAAACCGG
rnacentral:rRNA from 1 species